GAUGAACGCUGGCGGCGUGCCUAACACAUGCAAGUCGAACGGAAAGGCCCUGCUUUUGUGGGGUGCUCGAGUGGCGAACGGGUGAGUAACACGUGUGUAACCUGCCCUUGUCUUUGGGAUAACUUCAGGAAACUGGGGCUAAUACCGGAUAGCAUCUCCUGCUGCAUGGUGGGGGUUGGAAAGUUUCGGCGGUUGGGGAUGGACUGGCGGCUUAUCAGCUUGUUGGUGGGGUAGUGGCUUACCAAGGCUUUGACGGGUAGCCGGCCUGAGAGGGUGACCGGCGACAUGGGUACUAAGGGACGGAGCAGACGCGAACGGUAGGCAGCAGUGGGAAGUAUGACACAGUGAGCGGGAGCCUGAUACAGAGGCGCCGCGUGCGGGAUGACGUCUUUCGGGUUAUAAACAGCUUUCGCCUGUGACGAAGCGUGAGUGACGGUAAUGAAUAAAGAAGCACCGGCUAACUACGUG
rnacentral:rRNA from 1 species